UGGUUUUUGAACUAGUUGUACCUUUUGUAACUGUUGAUGAUUCAGUUAGUUCAUCUUUUAACAGUGUUUGAACUUUUUGUAAGGCUGUAUCUGAUAUUUUAAUUGAUUUUCCUCCUGCAGUUGAAAAACCUUUACAGGUAUUGGUUUUUGUACUAGUUGUACUUUUUGGAACUGUUGAUGAUUCAGUUAGUUCAUCUUUUAACAGUGUUUGUGCUUUUUGUAAGGCUGUAUCUGAUAUUUUAAUCGAUUUUCCUCCUGCAGUUGAAAAACCUUUACAGGUAUUGGUUUUUGUACUAGUUGUACCUUUUGGAACUGUUGAUGAUUCAGUUAGUUCAUCUUUUAACAGUGUUUGAACUUUUUGUAAGGCUGUAUCUGAUAUUUUAAUCGAUUUUCCUCCUGCAGUUGAAAAACCUUUACAGGUA